UUUUAAUUGGGGACUGGAAUGAAAGGUGUGAUGAGAGGGAGACUGUCUUUUAAUAUAGUUUGAAUUUGAUUAUCAGGUACAAAGGCCUGGAUUAUGUAAAGUGACAAGAAGACCCUAAGAGUUUUAUUUUGUGCGUAAGUUAGUUUUAAGGUGUUGUAUUUAUAUUUCUUGCGUAUAAGAUUUAACUGGGGCGGUUUAAAAUAUAUCAUUUUUGGUUAUUACAAUAAUAAGUGUAUUAUUUUGUUAAUUAUCCUUUUCGGAAGUCAUUAUAAAUUACCUUAGGGAUAACAGCAUAAUCUUUUUUGAGAGAUCUUAUUGACAAAAAGGUUUGUGACCUCGAUGUUGGAUUUGAGUAACUAUAAGGAGCAGCAUCUUUGUAAGUUGGUUUGUUCAACCAUUUAAUCUCAACAUGAUUUGA
rnacentral:rRNA from 1 species